UACGUAGGGGGCAAGCGUUGUUCGGAUUUACUGGGCGUAAAGGGCGCGUAGGCGGCCACUGCAAGUCAGUUGUGAAAUCUCCGGGCUUAACCCGGAAAGGUCAACUGAUACUGCAGGGCUAGAGUGCAGAAGGGGCAACUGGAAUUCUCGGUGUAGCGGUGAAAUGCGUAGAUAUCGAGAGGAACACCUGCGGCGAAGGCGGGUUGCUGGGCUGACACUGACGCUGAGGCGCGAAAGCCAGGGGAGCGAACGGG
rnacentral:rRNA from 1 species